rnacentral:rRNA from 1 species
UACGGGGGGGGCGAAGCGUUGUUCGGAAUUACUGGGCGUAAAGGGCUCGUAGGUGGCCAAUUAAGUCAGACGUGAAAUCCCCAGGCUCAACUUGGGAACUGCGUCUGAUACUGGUUGGCUUGAAUUCGGGAGAGGGAUGCAGAAUUCCAGGUGUAGCGGUGAAAUGCGUAGAUAUCUGGAGGAAUACCGGUGGCGAAGGCGGCAUCCUGGACCGAGAUUGACACUGAUGAGCGAAAGCCAGGGGAGCAAACGGG